rnacentral:sRNA from 1 species
AUUUACCGCGUUAGCGAUAGAAACGGCAUCCUUUUGCUUUUUAGGCAAAAGAUAUAGUGGAUAGCGCGGUAGGGC